GCACUCUAGACGAACUGCCGUUGACAAACGGAGGAAGGUGGGAUGACGUCAAGUCAUCAUGCCCCUUAUGUUCUGGGCUACACACGUGCUACAAUGGCCGGUACAGACGGACGCAAAGCCGCGAGGUGGAGCAAAUCCUAAAAAGCCGGUCUCAGUUCGGAUUGCAGGCUGCAAUUCGCCUGCAUGAAGUCGGAAUCGCUAGUAAUCGCAGGUCAGCAUACUGCGGUGAAUACGUUCCCGGGCCUU
rnacentral:rRNA from 1 species